UGGGGAAUAUUGCACAAUGGGCGCAAGCCUGAUGCAGCCAUGCCGCGUGUGUGAAGAAGGCCUUCGGGUUGUAAAGCACUUUCAGCGAGGAGGAAGGUGGUGAACUUAAUACGUUCAUCAAUUGACGUUACUCGCAGAAGAAGCACCGGCUAACUCCGUGCCAGCAGCCGCGGUAAUACGGAGGGUGCAAGCGUUAAUCGGAAUUACUGGGCGUAAAGCGCACGCAGGCGGUUUGUUAAGUCAGAUGUGAAAUCCCCGGGCUCAACCUGGGAACUGCAUUUGAAACUGGCAAGCUAGAGUCUCGUAGAGGGGGGUAGAAUUCCAGGUGUAGCGGUGAAAUGCGUAGAGAUCUGGAGGAAUACCGGUGGCGAAGGCGGCCCCCUGGACGAAGACUGACGCUCAGGUGCGAAAGCGUGGGGAGCAAACAGGAUUAGAUACCCCUGGUAGUCCACGCUGUAAACGAUGUCGAUUUUGGAGGUUGUGCCCUUGAGGCGUGGCUUCCGGAGCUAACGCGUUAAAUCGACCGCCUGGGGAGUACGGCCGCAAGGUU
rnacentral:rRNA from 1 species